rnacentral:rRNA from 1 species
GAUGAACGCUGGCGGCGUGCCUAACACAUGCAAGUCGAGCGGCAGCGAGGGGUGCUUGCACCCUGUCGGCGAGCGGCGGACGGCUGAGUAACGCGUGGGAACGUGCCCCGAAGUGAGGAAUAACUGCCCGAAAGGGUAGCUAAUACCGCAUAUUAUCUUCGGAUCAAAGGAUUUAUCCGCUUUGGGAGCGGCUCGCGUCGGAUUAGGUAGUUGGUGAGGUAAUGGCUCACCAAGCCGACGAUCCGUAGCUGGUCUGAGAGGAUGACCAGCCAGACUGGAACUGAGACACGGUCCAGACUCCUACGGGAGGCAGCAGUGAGGAAUCUUCCACAAUGGGCGAAAGCCUGAUGGAGCAACGCCGCGUGCAGGACGAAGGCCUUCGGGUUGUAAACUGCUUUUAUAAGUGAGGAAUAUGACGGUAACUUAUGAAUAAGGAUCGGCUAACUACGUG